GACGAACGCUGGCGGCGUGCUUAACACAUGCAAGUCGAACGGAAAGGCCCUGCUUUUGUGGGGUGCUCGAGUGGCGAACGGGUGAGUAACACGUGAGUAUCCUGCCCUUGACUUUGGGAUAACUUCAGGAAACUGGGGCUAAUACCGGAUAGGAGCUCUUGCUGCAUGGUGGGGGUUGGAAAGUUUCGGCGGUUGGGGCUGGUCUCGCGGCUUAUGAGCUUGUUGGGGGGGUAGGCGCUUACAAAGUCUUUGACGGGUAGCCGGCAUGAGAGGGUGACCGGCGACCAUGGGACUGCGGGACGGAGCAGACGGGAAUGUGACGCAGUGGGCGGGAACAUGGCGGAGCGGGGGGACGUCUGUGACGGAGAUGCCGCGUGCGGAAAGAUGGCUUACUAGUGGAAAACCGCUGUGGAAGGUGAUGUAGCGGGAUUGACGGUAAUUAAUAAAGAAGCCCCGGCUAACUACGUG
rnacentral:rRNA from 1 species